rnacentral:rRNA from 1 species
GACGAACGCUGGCGGCGUGCUUAACACAUGCAAGUCGUACGGUAAGGCCCUUUCGGGGGUACACGAGUGGCGCACGGGUGAGUAACACGUGAGUAACCUGCCCACAACUUUGGGAUAACGCUAGGAAACUGGUGCUAAUACUGGAUAUGUGCUCCUGCUGCAUGGUGGGGGUUGGAAAGCUCCGGCGGUUGUGGAUGGACUCGCGGCCUAUCAGCUUGUUGGUGGGGUAGUGGCCUACCAAGGCGGCGACGGGUAGCCGGCCUGAGAGGGUGACCGGCCACAUUGGGACUGAGAGACGGCCCAGACGCCGACGGGAGGCAGCAGGGGGGAAUAUUGCACAAGGGGCGCAAGCCUGAUGCAGCAACGCCGCGGGCGGGAUGACGGCCUUCGGGUUGUAAACCGCUUUCAGCAGGGACGAAGCUUUUUGUGACGGUACCUGCAGAAGAAGCACCGGCUAACUACGUG